GAAAGUUAAGAAACUGUUUCUUAUCUUUUAACUAAAAAAGCUAAGAACCGGUUCUUAAAGUCUUUAUUUAAGAACCGGUUCUUAGCUUUUUUAGUUAAAAGUUAAUAAACAGUUUCUUAACUUCC
rnacentral:pre_miRNA from 1 species